CAGUAGCCACGGUAAUACAGAGGGUGCAAGCGUUAAUCGGAUUUACUGGGCGUAAAGGGCGCGUAGGUGGUUAUUUAAGUGAGAUGUGAAAGCCCCGGGCUUAACCUGGGAACUGCAUCUUAUACUGGGUAACUGGAGUGCAGUAGAGGGUAGUGGAAUUUCCGGUGUAGCGGUGAAAUGCGUAGAUAUCGGAAGGAACACCAGUGGCGAAGGCGGCUACCUGGACUGAGACUGACACUGAGGCGCGAGAGCGUGGGGAGCAAACAGGAUUAGAUACCCGCGUAGUCCCUGUCUCUUAUAC
rnacentral:rRNA from 1 species